UCGAAGCCACGUUGUAGUUGGAAUUUGUAAGAAUACUUUAGUGUGGAGGAAUCUGUGCAAUAGUCAAUGGAAUAGAUUUCUCGUGGGUAGAAGGACAAUUUUAUUGGCAAGAACAAUGGCAAAUACGGCUGAAGUCAGUGCCAAGAUGAACAAUGUCGUGGAAAGAUUUGACAAUAUUACCAAGUCAGCAGAGGACAAUAGGAACUAUCGAGGGCUGCUGCUGAGUAAUGAUAUGAAGGUGCUGCUGGUAAGUGAUCCAACAACUGAACGAUCAGCUGCCGCGAUGGCAGUUGACGUGGGGCAUUUGAGUGAAUCCAGCGGAAAUCCCAGGUCUGGCUCAUUUUCUUGAGCAUAUGUUGUUCCUGGGGACUGAGAAGUACCCCAAUGAGAAUGACUAUUCGACGUAUUUGGCUCAGCAUGGGGGCAAUUCCAAUGCAUCAACUUAUGCAGAUAUCACAAAGUUCUAUUUUGACAUCGUUCCGGACAAGUUGGAAGGGGCUCUGGACAGAUUUGCUCAGUUUUUUAUAGCUCCACUUUAUACGGAAAGUGCGACAGAUCGGGAGAUAAAUGCUGUCCAUUCGGAGCAUGAGAAGAAUGUUCCGAUGGAUUCGUGGCGAGUGAGACAAGUUAACAAAUCCCUGUCCAAUCCUAGGCAUCCGUACAGUAAAUUUUGGCACGGGGAAUAAGAAGACUCUCGAUGAGGAUGUCAGAGCCAAGGGGAUUAAUAUCCGGGAUGAGUUGUUGAAGUUUCAGGAUAAAUGGUAUUCAGCCAAUAUUAUGAGUUUGGCGGUUUUUGGCAAGGAGGAACUGGAUGUGCUGGAGGAAAUGGUGAUUUCCAAGUUCUCAGAGGUCGUUAAUAAGGACGUAGUGGCGCCUACCUGGACAGAAUCACCGUAUACGGAAAAUGAAUUGGGUGUGAAGGUGAAUGUGGUUCCUGUGAAAGAUACUCGUUCCCUGACCAUAACAUUUCCCUGUCCGGAUCUCGAGAGCCUGUACAAGUCCAGUCCGGAUAAGUACAUUACGCAUCUACUGGGGCACGAGGGUAAGGGGAGUUUGUUGUCGGAGCUGAAGAGUAAGGGCUACUGCAACAAUCUCAUGGCAGGAUACACUCUGGCAGCUCGUGGCUUUGGAUUCUUUGACAUUGUGGUGGAUCUGACGCAAGAUGGCUUUGAGAAUGUCAACGAUGUCAUCCUCAACACCUUUCAGUACAUCCAAAUGCUGAAGACUGAAGGAGCUGUACGGAGGAUUUUCGAUGAGUAUCGUCACAUUCUCGAGAUGCAGUUUAGGUUCAAGGAGAAGGAAGGACCUCUGUCUCUUGUGUCCAGUGUUGUUCAUUCCAUGAGAAUAACUGCCCUUUGAAGAUGUCCUCUCAGCUGGAUAUUUCAUCAGUGAGUGGCGUCCGGAUCUCAUUGAGGAUAUUCUCAAGUACCUGGAACCGCAAAAGAUGCGGGCAGUUGUUGUUGGUAAAAAGGUCGAGUCAAAGUGCGAUAGAACAGAAUUUUGGUAUGGAACAAAAUUUUUCAGUGGAAAAUUUCCGGCCAGAAGAACUCAAAGCAUGGAGUGAUUGUCAACUCAAUCCGCAAUUUUAUCUGCCGGAAGAGAAUCUUUUCAUCCCAACGCAAUUUACAAUAGCUGACCUGGAGGAUGAUGUAACAGACUAUCCCACCAUUAUCUACGAUACAACGCACAUUCGUGUCUGGCAUAAGCAAGAUGCAGAAUUCCGAAAGCCAAAGGCUCUCAUGAAUUUUGACUUUUCCAGUCCGCUCGUCUACUCAGAUCCUCUCAAUUGCAACCUAACCCAUCUCUUUGUCAUGCUCUUUCGGGACCAUCUCACUGAAUAUCUGUACAAUGCCGAAUUGGCAGGUUUGAGGCUAAAUGUAGGCAAUACCCUAAAUGAGAUCAGCAUAAGUAUUAGUGGUUUCAAUGAAAAACAGAAACUUUUCCUCCAAGAUAUUCUCAAUGCCCUCUAUAAUUUCAAAGUGGAUCCAAAGAGAUUUGACAUCUUCAAAGAGAAAUACACCAGAACACUCAAGAAUUUCGAAGCUGAACAGCCAUAUCAGCAUGCUGUCUACUACCUCGGUGUCCUCCUAACGGAAUUUGCAUGGACAAAGAAGGAACUUCUCGAUGCCACAAAAGCCACCACACCCGAAACACUCCAGCAAUUCAUUCAUGAUUUCCUCUCGCGUGUACAUGUUGAAUGCCUCAUCUAUGGCAAUGUGACCAAGGGAGAUGCCAUGGAUCUGGCAUCAAUUAUUGAGGAACGCCUCAAGAAGACAAAUUCCGUUACACUACCCCUCUUAGCGCGACAGCUCUUCCCCAAGCGUGAGUAUAAACUGGGCGAAGGCCGAAGUUUCCUCUUUCGCAAAAACAAUCAGUUCCACAUGGCGUCCUGCACACUCUUUUACAUCCAAUGCGGUGUUCAAAGCGAUGUCAACAACAUCUUCACGGAUCUCGUGGUGCAGAUCCUGUCAGAGCCGUGCAAUAAUGUGCUCCGGACGAAGGAACAACUGGGCUAUAUUGUCUUCUGCAGCGCCAGGAAAAUAAAUGGUGUCCAGGGGAUUCGGAUGCUAGUGCAAUCGUCGCAGCCAACAGCCUUUGUUGAGGAGAGGAUGGAACUUUUCCUGGAUUCAAUGGUGGAACACAUUGAGAAUAUGCCAGAUGAGGAGUUCCAGAGGCACAAAGAUUCUCUGGCGGCAAUAAAGCUGGAAAAGCCACGACAGCUAAUGUCGUGGUUCAGCAGGUAUUGGACUGAGAUUGGUCUGCAACAGUAUCAUUUUUCACGUGGACAGGCUGAAGUGGCUGUUCUCAAGGGAGUCACCAAGGAAGCUUUGUUGCAGUACUACAAAGAUUCUAUUCUUAGAAGUUCGAAGCGCAGACAAAAAUUGGCCAUUCAUAUCAUCUCAUCGCAAUCUGAGAAUGAAAAUGGAGGAGGGCAGGAUAAUGAAAUUUUGCAGGACAAUGUAGAAGUCGUGACGGAUCUGUCUACAUUCAAGUCCAGCAAGGAACUAUAUCCAGUGGUGCAACCGUACAUCGAUAUCCGGCGAAAGGGGGCUCGAAGUAAAUUGUAAUAGUGGUUGGAAAUUUUAUUCACUAUUUAUUUACCGAAAAA